CACAGGGAAGAGAUACACAAGCACUUGGAAAUGCUUGUCAAGGCCACAAUUCCUAUCCAAUUGCUACGUCACAGAAAGAAAAGAAGGUCCAUUCACACAUACGUCCCAGACUUCACAGAGGACAAACUCCAUCCUUGCUCCAACCAUGCACCAGGUUUCCAUGUGACCAAGAAGUUUUUGGAAGCAUUUACCAGUUACUUCUGGAAAUCUGGAUCUCAGCUAUUUUAUCCAGCUUUGGGAAGGAAAUGCUGCAUAUGAGCCUCAUCCUCCUGUGGCUCUGUAUGACCAGCUGUACCGAAGUGAGCAAGAGUGAGGUUAACCCUGCAACCAAAACCCUACAGCCACAGAGCAGCUGGGUGCCACUGACAUACAGCCACGAGGAAACAUGGACAGCGUCCGGCACAACACACAGCUCCGUAAAUGUGGAAACAGCUUUCUGCUAUGUUUCUUUUUGCUUUAGUGGCUCAUUACAUUACCUCAGCCAAACGCAAGAGUAAAUAGUAAGAUAGAGACUUCUAAUUGAUAUUUUCUGCUUGUCUGUUUAUAUAAAUAAAAUUGCUAUCUGCAA